UGGCUCAGAUGGUAAAAGUGUCUGCCUACAAUGCAGGAGACCCAGGUUAGAUCCCUGG
rfam:Ovis aries breed Texel chromosome 3, whole genome shotgun sequence.